UUGCAAGCGGAACUUCAUUUUUUUCGAAAAUCAUCGAGAUGCCAUUCUGAAUCGAAUGACAACUCAAUCAUAAUUUUCGGAGACUACUGAAAAAAGUUGACCAAAAAGGCACUUGUUGAGCGUGUUUAGCCGAACUAAAUCCUGAGUAAACUUAGUAAGAUAUGUAUAGUAUAGUAGAUAGAUAUAUGUAUAGCAGGGAAUGCUUUGACUAUACUUAGGCUAACUAAGUUUACUCAGGACUUAGUUCGGCUGAACACGCUCAAUUUCUAUAGAUUCAU